rnacentral:hammerhead_ribozyme from 1 species
AUCCAGCUGACGAGUCCCGAACAGGAUGAAACACGCGUCCUGGAU